AGGAAUUGGAAAGGAGGAUCCUUUUAUGCUGUGGUAGUUUGGUCUAGGCUUCCUUGGUGACCAGUUUGUAGCUAAGGAAGUGCCCAGAUCUACCCAGUAUUCCCUACGAUUUUUACGUAAGCCAGACUAUAAGAAGAAAGGAGGAAAGGCCUUCGCUCUCUUUCCUUCCAGUGGCUUGGAGGUGCA